rnacentral:rRNA from 1 species
CAGAGUUCAUGCCCUAACGGGUAGACCUCCCACCCUUGUGUAUUUAUACUUUGUUGCUUUGGCGGAGAGUGGCGUCACAUCCACGCACUGAGAAGUACUCCGCCAGAGGAAAACUAAAUUCUGAUUAUUAAUAUCGUCUCGAGUACUAUAUAAUAGUUAAAACUUUCAACAACGGAUCUCUUGGUUCUGGCAUCGAUGAAGAACGCAGCGAAAUGCGAUAAGUAAUGUGAAUUGCAGAAUUCAGUGAAUCAUCGAAUCUUUGAACGCACAUUGCGCCCCUUGGUAUUCCGGGGGGCAUGCCUGUUCGAGCGUCAUUUCAACCCUCAAGCUCAGCUUGGUAUUGGGAUUCAUUGGUAAAACGAUGGUCCUCAAAAUCAGUGGCGGCGCCGUUGGGUCCUGAACGUAGUAUUAUAUUUCGUUACAGGUACCUCGCGUGCUUCUGCCAUUAAACCCCAAAUUUUCUAUGGUUGACCUCGG